CAAGAAAAGCUUCUAGCGUUAAUUAUAUAGCGGCCCGUACCAAAACCGACACAGGUGGUCAAGGAUAAAUGUCCUGAGGUGAGCGAGAGAACUGUUGCAAAGGAACUCGGCAAAUUGACCCCGUACGUUAGCUAUAAGGGGUGCUCGAAAGAGCCGCAGUAAAUAGGCCCUAGCAACUGUUUAACUAAAACAUAGCUCUCUGCUAAGCCGCAAGGCGAAGUAUAGGGGGUGACACCUGCCCGGUGCUGGAAGGUCAAAGGGAUUUGUCAGGCGCAAGCCGAAGCAUUGAACUGAAGCCCCAGUGAACGGCGGCCGUGACAAUAACGGUCCUAAGGUAGCGAAAUUCCUUGUCAGGUAAGGUCUGACCCGCACGAAAGGUGUAAUGAUUUGGGCACUGUCUCUGCAGCAGACUCGGUGAAAUCUUAGUACCUGUGAAGAUGCAGGUUACCCGCAACUAGACGGAAAGACCCCAUGGAGCUUUACUGUAGUCUGCUAUUGAGUUUCGGUUAAAUAUGCACAGGAUAGGUGGGAGGCUUUGAGGCUGGUACUUCGGUAUCAGCGGAGCCACUGUUGGGAUACCACUCUUAUUUAACUGAAAUUCUAACUCAUGGCCGUGAUCCGGUCAGAGGACCGUGGCAGAUGGGCAGUUUGACUGGGGCGGUCGCCUCCCAAAGAGUAACGGAGGCGCGCAAAGGUACUCUCAGAAUGGUUGGAAAUCAUUCAUCGAGCGUAAACGCAGAAGAGUGCUUGACUGCGAGACAUACAGGUCGAGCAGGGACGAAAGUCGGCGUUAGUGAUCCGGCGGUGCAGUAUGGAAUGGCCGUCGCUUAACGGAUAAAAGCUACCCUGGGGAUAACAGGCUGAUCUCGCCCAAGAGUUCACAUCGACGGCGAGGUUUGGCACCUCGAUGUCGGCUCAUCGCAUCCUGGAGGUGAAUUCGCUUCCAAGGGUUGGGCUGUCCGCCCAUUAAAGCGGUACGCGAGCUGGGUUCAGAACGUCGUGAGACAGUUCGGUCCCUAUCUGUUGUGGGCGUUGGGAAUUUGAGAAGAGCUGCCCCUAGUACGAGAGGACCAGGGUGGACGUUCCGACGGUGCACCAGUUGUCACGCCAGUGGCACAGCUGGAUAGCUGAGAACGGAUCGGAUAAACGCUGAAGGCAUCUAAGCGUGAAACCGACUUCAAGAUGAGAUUCCCCAUCAAUUCAAUUGAAUAAGACCCCUUAAAGACGAUGAGGUUGAUAGGUCAGGGAUGUAAGUGCCGUGAGGCAUUGAGUUGACUGAUACUAAUAGGUCGAAGGUUUAUC
rnacentral:rRNA from 1 species